AAGUAUGGAGCUUUCAGGAUCUUUAUCUCCUUUUGUUGCCAAUAUGACAGCUCUGACUAAUAUGCACUUGGAAGACAAUCAAUUCGACGGAGAGAUUCCUUCAUCCCUAGGGAACAUAAGCACUUUGCAUAAAGUGUAAACUCUGUCCUCUUUAUACAAGAGAAUUAAACUGGUUUUUUGUGCUGUUUCUUGAAUCCUGAGUAGAUAUUUAAGUCAGCCCUGUACAACUACGUUGUUUACAUGAGUGUGGCCCAAAAAUAGUACAAUUUAUUUGAAUUCCUUUUGCCGAUAAAUUUAAUUGGAUCAAGACUUUGUUA